GACGUAGGGCGCGAGCGUUGUCCGGAUUUAUUGGGCGUAAAGAGCUCGUAGGCGGCUUGUUGCGUCGACUGUGAAAACCUGCGGCUCAACCGUGUGGUCUGCAGUCGAUACGGGCAGGCUGGAGUUCGGUAGGGGAGACUGGAAUUCCUGGUGUAGCGGUGAAGUGCGCAGAUAUCAGGAGGAACACCGGUGGCGAAGGCGGGUCUCUGGGCCGAUACUGACGCUGAGGAGCGAAAGCGUGGGGAGCGAACAGG
rnacentral:rRNA from 1 species